GAUGAACGCUAGCGGCAGGCUUAACACAUGCAAGUCGAGGGGUAGAGGAAGCUUGCUUCCUUGAGACCGGCGCACGGGUGCGUAACGCGUAUGCAACCUACCUUUUACAGAGGGAUAGCCCAGAGAAAUUUGGAUUAAUGCCCCAUGGUAUUAUAGAGUGGCAUCACUUUAUAAUUAAAGUUCCAACGGUAUAAGAUGAGCAUGCGUCCCAUUAGUUAGUUGGUAAGGUAACGGCUUACCAAGACAAUGAUGGGUAGGGGUCCUGAGAGGGAGAUCCCCCACACUGGUACUGAGACACGGACCAGACUCCUACGGGAGGCAGCAGUGAGGAAUAUUGGUCAAUGGGCGCAAGCCUGAACCAGCCAUGCCGCGUGCAGGAAGAAGCAUCUAUGGUGUGUAAACUGCUUUUAUACAGGAAGAAACAACUCUACGUGUAGAGUCUUGACGGUACUGUAAGAAUAAGGACCGGCUAACUCCGUG
rnacentral:rRNA from 1 species